GACAGAGGGUGCAAACGUUGUUCGGAAUUACUGGGCGUAAAGGGUCUGUAGGUGGCUUGCUAAGUCAGACGUGAAAUCCCUCGGCUUAACCGGGGAACUGCGUCUGAUACUGGCGAGCUUGAGUGCAGGAGAGGAACGCGGAAUUCCAGGUGUAGCGGUGAAAUGCGUAGAUAUCUGGAGGAACACCGGUGGCGAAGGCGGCGUUCUGGACUGCAACUGACACUGAGAGACGAAAGCCAGGGGAGCAAACGGG
rnacentral:rRNA from 1 species